CGAAUAUCAGGAAAAGAGGUGGCUUCGACGUAGAUUCAUCUGUUGCUCACCACUGUGCACGAUUUUGGGGUGAUUUUGGGAGGUUUGGGGUUGAUUGUGGUUUAUAUCUAAGAUGGAGCUGUGUUUUCAGGUGGUUUGGGAUGAUUUGAGAUCGUUGCUGCGCAAGCAAGUGACGACUAUGGUGGUUUUACACAAGUUCAGAUGACGAUAUAGUGGUGUUAUUGUGGUGCGUUGAGCGGUGUUGUAG
rnacentral:lncRNA from 1 species